UGCAGCGCGUGUGUGUGUACACAACAUCGAGAGCAGGAAAAUGGACUCAUUAGGGAGGCAGGCGGUCGGGAGCGCUCGCGCUGUAGUGCCGGGGAGACGGAGGCUAUGAGGAGGCAAACUGAGGACGGGGGAACAAGCAGCAUAAAAAAGAAUUGUUGAGAGCUGCUCUUAACCCUUUUGGAGUCCGAAGUCAAAAGGGAACUAGAGGGCUUGACACAUCCCUUGCAUCUUCCAUUUACUCUGACCACAGUCCCUCCCUGUUCUCACAAGUGGAGCUAAGCCCUGCUUCCCUUCCUCUUGAUUCCCAGACAGCUACGUGACUGCCUGAAGUUACAUUGUAGAUGCUGAAAUCACUGCACCUUAAAAACAAAAAGAUUAAGCUGCACUGCAUUCUUAUAUAUAGAGGCAUGUUAUAGAAAUAUGUAUUAAGAAGUCCCUGGGUCCUAGGAGAACGUAUCAAGUUGACUCUGGCUUGAAGCAAACAAAUUACCUUCGUGGUCCUGGUCCUUUCGUUCCACACAAUUAUCGACUGAGCUGAAGGAGAUCUCCCUAUAGCUCAGUCGUUGGCAGUUUUCCUCAAAUCAACAAGAGAGAGACAGAGAUUUGGUUGGAAUGAAACCUUGCUCUUCGUACAGUCUGAUUGAGAUGCAGCUUUGAAAGAUCACUCACAGUCAAUUUGUGGCCUUCCUCUGAAGGAACCUUUCCUGACUCCUGUUUCCAUUCUUCACUUUCUUCCUGGAGCUGAUCAUUUGAAAGAUUGAACUCUUCAUAGACUCUUUGGAGAAGAGAUUGAAUUUGGAGGUGUUAGCUUUAGCAUUCUGAGGUGAUGGUUAUUCAGCCAUUUUACAAUGUAAUGUUAAUAAUUAUUGAGUACAUUGAAGCAUUAAAAAGUAAUACCUGUCAACUUAAUAUAGAGUGGUACGCCAACUUAAUGUAGAGUAAACACCUACUACUGGCCUGUAGUUUAAUUAUUUAAUCUUGACCUAAUCCACCAUUUAAACCAAUUUCAAAAUGAAGUUGUUAUAUUGCUGGAAGUGAUUGUUUGUUCCAGUCUAUAGGGCUAAAUUCAGAAGUGGCAUGAGUAAUAGGAGAGAAUUACAAAUUGCACACAGGUGUGAGGAAAAUAAGUGACAAAAAAAUAUACUCUCGUAUAUUGCCACAGCUCUCUUUUUUCCUGCUAUCACUCAUCCCUGUUGGUAGCCAUUUCUGCUGACCUGACUUUGCCCCACUUCCUGCCUCCAACAUUCAAGUUUCAGCAAUAUACUGAACAUCUCAGAUGGAAAGUUGGUACAGACUUACACUUUCUCUGCCCUGAAUUCACAUUUGCAUCCAUCCCGUGAUCUGGUGUAGAGGUGAUAUCACAGUGGGUUCCACUGGACAUUUUCAGUCAGUUUACUUGACCUUGUCUGAGUGAGGGCCACAAGAUGCCAGAGCACUUCUAGUGACCUCAGUGGAAUUGCUACUGAAUCACUGUGAUGUAAAUAUGAGCAGAUCUCAAGUCAACAGCCCUCAGUGAUGAAAUGUUUCCAGCAUCUUGUUUCAGGAAAAAUAGUGAGCCCCUUUGAAGAGAAAUACCUCCCUCUUUUUUUUCCCCUCUCUCUCUGAAUGCCUCCACAAGACAACGUGGGGGAGAGGAGGAGAAGAGCAAAUAUUCAACAGGAAAUUUUUCAUUUUUCUUCAGUCUUUUUGAGAAAAACUUCCCCCUCAAUUAAAGCCCUCAAAGACAGAGCCUGGAGACCUAACUGCUGGCUUGAAAAAAUAAGAAGGAAGGGAAGAUGCCUGGUCUUGUACCAGGCAUUCAGCACAGUACCUGUAGUACUGUGGUGUGAUGCUGAAAGCUGUAGGGGACCUAGAGCAAAGUGUUACAGAUGCAGCAAAAACUCUCAUGAAGACGAGCCUCUUAGCAGUGACUUGAGCUGGUCUGCCAUGACUCAGGAAAUCCCCCUGGCUAGAUGCGGCCUUUUCAUCCACUACAUCGCUCUGACUCAAACAGAAAUCUCAUCUAACCUCCCUGACCAGAAUUUGAGCAUACACCCAGGGUACAAUGUAAGAUUUUGCAAUUUCCUUAUUUCUGGUUAGUUACUGCCCACCUCCCACUCUGAAGAAGCCUGUCCUACCUUCCUUUGCUGUUCCAUUGCUCUUAGCAUGCAAGGACCAAUCCUGCCAACACGAGGCACAUCCUCCCCCAUCCUGUUUCCUGCCGUCCUUCCGUUGUGGUCACAUCCCCAGCUGAUGUAAACUGGCAUAGGGCCACUGACUUGAAUAUUUUCCCUGGUGGAACACUUGGCCCUUUGAUUCUCGUAGAACUUCUCGUUUUUAGUGGCACCACAACUGGCACUACUUGUUUACAUGCUUGGGACCAUCUACAAGCAAAUGCUUGCGUAUUAAUUACAACAAAGAGCAAAUCUACUUGACAUUUGAUUUUGUUUUUCUUGUUUCCUUGCAAGCUUGAAAAUGAGCUGCUUUUGGCAAAAUAAGUAAAUAAAUAAAUAAAAAAAAUGCAUUUCACACUUUUUUUUUUUUUUUUACUUGAAAUAGGCCCCUUGAAAAAUCUGACAUGUUAAACACCACCAAGAAAAUGAUUAUUUGGACAUAUGGCUCUUCUUCCUGAACUUUGCAGAGAGGUUAGAUAACGCUUUUUCACAUCUUAAAAGACUACACUCCUGCUACAGCACUAACAUAUUCUU